rnacentral:lncRNA from 1 species
GAAGCUGCUCAAUCGUGCGCAGUUAUCCUGGAUAUUGUUGAGUCUUCAUUGCCAGCAGGCUUGCCUGAAAACAUUGGUGGUGACUGUAAAUUGCAGGAAACAAUAAACAAGGCUGUAGAGCUGCUUCCAGGAUUAUGGAAACUUGCUGAUCAUCCUAGUGAAGCUAUUUUGUCUUACCGUCGGGCCCUUCUACAUCAAUGGAACCUUGAUGCACAAAUUACGGCUAAGAUACAAAAAGAGUUUGCCAUUUUUCUUCUCUAUAGUGGAGUUGAAGCAAAUCCCCCAAGUCUGCAAUCCCAAAUGGACAGUUCUUUUGUACCUAAAAACAAUACUGAGGAAGCUACUCUUCUUUUGAUAAUUCUUUUAAGGAAAGUUACCCUCAAGAGAAUUGAGUGGGAUCCAUCAAUUUUGGAUCACCUUUGCUAUGCAUUAUCUAUAUCAGGUGGAUUAAGGGCUNGUUUUGAAGAUUUGUGGGAGGGCUGAAACGGUAUGAGGAAUGAGAAUCGUAUUAAAGAAAGGAGGAGGGAUCGGAUUAGUAUUGAGUUGGGAAAGAUAAUGCAGUGUCUAUGCUCAGGGGAACAGUUACUUGGAGAAGAAAUGGUCCCUUCUUCUGAAUCUCUCGCAACAAAGGAUUAUACACACAGUGUUUAUUCAUCUCAAGCCGAAGAAGCUGAACGGAAACCUGACACUGGCAAUAUUGAAGAAGCUGAAUCAUCAUUACGAGAAAGUGGUUCUUUAAAUUAUGAGGUUGUCUCUCUAAUUCUUCUUAUGCUGAAAUCCUUUUGAUGUUUCUUUUAUCCGUAUCUUUGGUUGAAUUUUCACUCAUUUCAAUUUGAUUUUGCUUUACUUUCUCAUCCAUAUAUCGAAUGCUGUUUUUUUACUAAUCUUUCUAUCAUCAGAGUUAAAAUACGAGUAUCUUGGCUAGCUGAGUCUUUGAGUAAGAGCAUGUUUUGCUGUGCUUAAAAUUUCUCUAGAAAUUAAGUUAAAGAUUUUCUAGGAAAGUAAGUGUUGUCUGUAAAAAUCAUGCUUGUCAAAUAAGUAAUUUAAAAGUAAGUUUGACUUACUUUUAAGCAUUAGCAAAUAUGCCCCAAGAAUUGGUGCUUCGACGAAAUGGCAGCUUGUUUAUUUACUAUACCUAUGACUAAGAAAUCAUUAUUUCAGGAAGCCAGAGCGUUGUUAGGAAGGUAUGAGUAUCAGAAAGGGAACCUAGAAGCGGCCUUACACGUGUUUGAAGGGAUAGACAUUGCUGCAGUGACUCCAAAGAUGAAAACUGCGCUUUCUAUAAGAGGAGAAACUCGUAAAAGGCGGUCACAAAAGUUUGCACCACCACCAAUGUCAAUUCAUGCUGUUAGCUUGCUGUUUGAAGCAAUGCUCCUAAAAUCAAAAUCACUACAAGCAUUUGGGAGGUAUAAAGGUAGCUCGCGUGCUAAUUGGUGAAUCAUCCUUUUGUUAUCUGCAAAUAGAAUCGCCUUAUUUAAAAGUUUAAGAUCUUGGAGAGGGGACAAAUUUAAUAUUCAUCUUCAACAGUAUCGUAUGGAUUCAUGCAGUUUUAGAUUUUUAUUAUAUUCUCCUUUUUCCUUUAUUGUAAUCACCUAAAUAAUUUGAAUUAUUUAGAUAUAUAAAAAUUCUUUGGUGCUUAUCAGACUUAUUAUUGUCUUUUUUUUUAAGUAUCAAAUGUAAUAUUUCGUGCAGAGUAUUUCCAUUAUUAAUGGUAAUGAUUGUUACAGCCAUCUAUAUAAAAAUCAUCUGAAAAUUCUCUUAGCAUUUUAAUGAUGUCUAACUGCUGUUUGUAGUUAACAAGAUAUCAACAUCCUAAUUUUCGGAAGUUCCAAUAUUUGCAUUUCUUGCUACUGCUCUCUCUCCUCCUCCCCCCCCCCUCUCUGACUGUAAAUUGCAGGAAACAAUAAACAAGGCUGUAGAGCUGCUUCCAGGAUUAUGGAAACUUGCUGAUCAUCCGAGUGAAGCUAUUUUGUCUUACCGUCGGGCCCUUCUACAUCAAUGGAACCUUGAUGCACAAAUUACGGCUAAGAUACAAAAAGAGUUUGCCAUUUUUCUUCUCUAUAGUGGAGUUGAAGCAAAUCCCCCAAGUCUGCAAUCCCAAAUGGACAGUUCUUUUGUCCCUAAAAACAAUACUGAGG